rnacentral:ncRNA from 2 species
CUCUUAUUAAGAACUACUAGAUGAAGAUCUAUGAUGUAGUGGCAACCCUAUUUUUAGAAGGUGCCUAACUGAGCAAGUUAUAUACUUGAACAAUGAGAG